rnacentral:SRP_RNA from 1 species
GCUGGGCAUAGUGGUACAUGUCUGUAGUCCCAGCUAUUCGGGAGGCUGAGGUGGAAGGAUAGCUUGAGUCCAGGAGUUUUGUACUGUGGUACACUAGGCUGAUGGAGUAUCUGCACUAUGCUCCACAUCAGUAUGUGAACGCUUGGGAACAGGGUGCCACCAGGUUGCCUAAGUGGGGAUGAAUCGGCCCAGCUCAGAAAGGGAGCAGGUCAAAAUUCCCUUGCUGAUCAGUAGUGGGAUCAUGCCUAUGAAUCAUCACUGCACUCCAGUCUGGGCAACAUAGGAAGACCUUGACUUUU